UUGGAAUUUCUGCGCCAUCAAAAAUUUCAAAGCUUUUGGUGGCCUUGAAAAAUGCAUGACUUGGAUUUCUAGGCCACCAAAAAUUGGGAACUUGGUGGCCUAGAAAAUUCCA
ensembl:ncRNA Y39G8C.11 ncRNA